AGUGAACGCUGGCGGUAGGCCUAACACAUGCAAGUCGAACGAGUGGCGGACGGGUGAGGAAUACACCGGAAUCUACUCUGUCGUGGGGGAUAACGUAGGGAAAUUUACGCUAAUACCGCAUCCGAUUGAAUGAGCCGAUGUCGGAUUAGCUGGUGUGCGGGGGAAAGCCCCACCAAGGCGACGAUCCGUAGCUGGUCUGAGAGGAUGAUCAGCCCAACUGGAACGGGGACACGGUCCAGACGCCUACGGGAGGCAGCAGUGGGGAAUAUUGGACAAUGGGCGCAAGCCUGAUCCAGCCAUACCGCGUGGGUGAAGAAGGCCUUCGGGUUGUAAAGCCCUUUUGUUGGGAAAGCGGUACCCAAAGAAUAAGCACCGGCUAACUUCGUGCCAGCCGCCGCGGUAAUAC
rnacentral:rRNA from 1 species